rnacentral:rRNA from 1 species
UACGUAGGGAGCAAGCGUUGUCCGGAAUUAUUGGGCGUAAAGAGCUUGUAGGCGGUUUGUCGCGUCUGCUGUGAAAUUUCGGGGCUCAACCCCGAACUUGCAGUGGGUACGGGCAGACUAGAGUGUGGUAGGGGAGACUGGAAUUCCCGGUGUAGCGGUGAAAUGCGCAGAUAUCAGGAGGAACACCGAUGGCGAAGGCAGGUCUCUGGGCCACUACUGACGCUGAGAAGCGAAAGCAUGGGGAGCGAACAGG